rnacentral:other from 1 species
UAUUAUCUGAAAUGUACGCGACCUUUUAUUUUUGAACCUACAUUUUUUGAACGGGAUUCCUACAUUGUUCAGCUUAUGUCAGGCCGCAAGCUAAUUCCCUUUGGGCAGCGGAAGGCAGAGAGUUGUUCUGCGGAAACCCACCUAGCUCUGCUAGGUGUCAAAAAACUGGGGACGGCAUUUUGGAUUUUUA